rnacentral:rRNA from 1 species
GUACAUGCUUAAACUAGCGCUAAUGCACCGGAUCCCAUUAUAACUCUACAGUUAAGCACGCUCGAGAUAGAGUAGUACUAGGUUGGGUGACUGCCUGGGAAGUCCUGGUAUUUUACA